GUUAGGAAUAUUGGACAAUGGGCGCAAGCCUGAUCCAGCCAUGCCGCGUGAGUGAUGAAGGCCUUCGGGUUGUAAAGCUCUUUAGCCGAUGAUUAUAAUGACUGUAGUCGGAAAAUAAGCCCCGGCUAACUUCGUGCCAGCAGCCGCGGUAAUACGAAGGGGGCGAGCGUUAUUCGGAAUCACUGGGCGUAAAGCGUGCGUAGGCGGCUUUGCAAGUUGGGAGUGAAAGCCCAGGGCUCAACCCUGGAAUUGCUCUUAAAACUGCAAGGCUCGAAUCUCGGAGAGGAUAGCGGAAUUUCCAGUGUAGCAGUGAAAUGCGUAGAUAUUGGAAGGAACACCAGUGGCGUAAGCGGCUAUCUGGACGAGUAUUGACGCUGAGGCACGAAAGCGUGGGGAUCAAACAGGAUUAGAAACCCCUGUAGUCC
rnacentral:rRNA from 1 species